GUAACGUAGCUAACGCGUGAAGUUGACCGCCUGGGGAGUACGGUCGCAAGAUUAAAACUCAAAGGAAUUGACGGGGACCCGCACAAGCGGUGGAUGAUGUGGAUUAAUUCGAUGCAACGCGAAAAACCUUACCUACCCUUGACAUGCCACUAACGAAGCAGAGAUGCAUUAGGUGCCCGAAAGGGAAAGUGGACACAGGUGCUGCAUGGCUGUCGUCAGCUCGUGUCGUGAGAUGUUGGGUUAAGUCCCGCAACGAGCGCAACCCUUGUCUCUAGUUGCUACGCAAGAGCACUCUAGAGAGACUGCCGGUGACAAACCGGAGGAAGGUGGGGAUGACGUCAAGUCCUCAUGGCCCUUAUGGGUAGGGCUUCACACGUCAUACAAUGGUGCGUACAGAGGGUUGCCAACCCGCGAGGGGGAGCUAAUCCCAGAAAACGCAUCGUAGUCCCGGAUCGUAGUCUGCAACUCGACUACGUGAAGCUGGAAUCGCUAGUAAUCGCGGAUCAGCAUGCCGCGGUGAAUACGU
rnacentral:rRNA from 1 species